rnacentral:rRNA from 1 species
UACGGGGGAGCAAGCGUUGUUCGGAUUUACUGGGCGUAAAGGGCGCGGUAGGCGGUCGUGACAAGUCACUUGUGAAAUCUCCGGGCUUAACUCGGAACGGUCAAGUGAUACUGUCGGACUAGAGUACAGAAGGGGCAACUGGAAUUCUCGGUGUAGCGGUGAAAUGCGUAGAUAUCGAGAGGAACACCUGCGGCGAAGGCGGGUUGCUGGGCUGAUACUGACGUGAGGCGCGAAAGCCAGGGGAGCG